UACGUAGGGGGCUAGCGUUGUCCGGAUUUAUUGGGCGUAAAGAGCGUGUAGGCGGCCAGGUAGGUCUGCUGUGAAAACUCGAGGCUCAACCUCGAGACGUCGGCGGAAACCAUCUGGCUAGAGUCCGGAAGAGGAGAGUGGAAUUCCUGGUGUAGCGGUGAAAUGCGCAGAUAUCAGGAAGAACACCGGUGGCGAAGGCGGCCUGCUGGGCAGUUUAGCUGACACUGAGGCGCGACAGCGUGGGGAGCAAACAGG
rnacentral:rRNA from 1 species